GGUUCGGGUUAGUGUUAGGGAACGGGUACGGAUUAAAGUACAGGUUAGAGUACGAUAACGGGUUAGGGUUAGGGUACGUGUUAGGCUACGAGUUAGUUUUAGGGUACAGGUUUGGAUUAGGGUAUGGGUUAGGAUUAGGGUUAGGGAACGGAUACAGUUUUGGGUACAGGUUAGCAUACGAAAACGGGUUAGGGUACGUGUUAGUUCAGUGUACGGGUUAGGAUUAGGGUAC